GCGUGAGUGAAGAAGGCCUUAGGGUUGUAAAACUCUUUCAACUGUGAGGAUGAUGACAGUAGCAGUAGAAGAAGCACCGGCUAACUUCGUGCCAGCAGCCGCGGUAAUACGAAGGGUGCGAGCGUUGUUCGGAAUUACUGGGCGUAAAGGGCGUGUAGGCGGAUUGGCAAGAUAGAGGUGAAAGGCCUGGGCUCAACCUGGGAACUGCCUUUAUAACUUCCAGUCUAGAGAUCGAGAGAGGAUAGCGGAAUUCCUAGUGUAGAGGUGAAAUUCGU
rnacentral:rRNA from 1 species